rnacentral:rRNA from 1 species
GACGAACGCUGGCGGCGUGCUUAACACAUGCAAGUCGAACGGAGUGGCGAACGGGUGAGUAACACGUGGGUGAUCUGCCUUGCACUUCGGGGUAAGCUUGGGAAACUGGGUCUAAAACCGGAUAGUGCAAGUUGAGCUGGGGGCCUGUCAGCUUGUUGGUGGGGUAAUGGCCUACCAAGGCGUGGACGGGUAGCCGGCCUGGGAGGGUGUACGGCCACAUUUGGACUGAGAUACGGCCCAGAGUCCUACUGGAGGCAGCAGUGGUGAAUAUUGCACGAUGGGCGGAAGCCUGAUGCAGCGACGCCGCGUGGGGGAUGAAGGCCUUCGGGGUGUAAACUCCUUUCGGCAGGGACGCGGUACCUGUAUAAGAAGCCCCGGCUAACUACGUGCCAGCAGCCGCGGUAAUUC